rnacentral:rRNA from 1 species
GACGAACGCUGGCGGCGUGCCUAACACAUGCAAGUCGAACGGAAAGGCCCUGCUUUUGUGGGGUGCUCGAGUGGCGAACGGGUGAGUAACACGUGAGUAACCUGCCCUUGACUUUGGGAUAACUUCAGGAAACUGGGGCUCAUACCGGAUAGGAGCUCCUGCUGCAUGGUGGGGGUUGGAAAGAUUCGGCGGUUGGGGAUGGACUCGCGGCUUAUCAGCUUGUUGGUGGGGUAGUGGCUUACCAAGGCUUUGACGGGUAGCCGGCCUGAGAGGGUGACCGGCCACAUUGGGACUGAGAUACGGCCCAGACUCCUACGGGAGGCAGCAGUGGGGAAUAUUGCACAAUGGGCGGAAGCCUGAUGCAGCAACGCCGCGUGCGGGAUGACGGCCUUCGGGUUGUAAACCGCUUUCGCCUGUGACGAAGCGUGAGUGACGGUAAUGGGUAAAGAAGCACCGGCUAACUACGUG